rnacentral:rRNA from 1 species
UACGAAGGGGGGCUAGCGUUGUUCGGAAUUACUGGGCGUAAAGCGCGCGCAGGCGGUCUUCCAAGUCAGUGGUGAAAGCCCGGAGCUCAACUCCGGAACUGCCAUUGAAACUGUGAGACUUGAGGAUGAGAGAGGUGAGUGGAAUUCCCAGUGUAGAGGUGAAAUUCGUAGAUAUUGGGAAGAACACCGGUGGCGAAGGCGGCGCUCUGGACCGAGACUGACGCUGAGGCGCGAAAGCGUGGGGAGCAAACAGG